GAACACACACACAUUAUAACCAAACACUUUACAGGAGACCAGCUCCACGUGUUGCAAAAGCCAGCAGUGUUUUCAGGGGAUUCAGAGCAGGGGCGAAACAUCAGACGCAAAAGUACAAGUUCUCUCUAACCACGCUGGAAAUGCAAGAUCUCUCACCAAUAAAAUUGAGUUUAUGAAAAGCUAGUGUGAGUACAGCGGUUGCAGCAGGAUGUGUCUCACGGUAACGUGGUUGAAUGGACUGAUUUCCGACACAAACACUCUAGAGGUCUAAUUUGUUCUGAUGUGGUCUCUAGAGGGUCUGAUGAGGUCUCUAGGGGGUCUGGAGUGGUCCGAUGAGGUCUCUAGGGGGUCUGAUAAGGUCCAAUGUGAUCUGAUGUGGUCUCGAGGGGGCCUGGUGUGGUCUAUUGUGGUCUGAUGUGGUCUCUAGAGGGUCUGAUGAGGUCUAAUUUGUUCUGAUGUGGUCACUAGAGGGUCUGAUGAGGUCUCUAGGGGGUCUGGAGUGGUCUGAUGAGGUCUCUAGGGGGUCUGAUAAGGUCUAAUGUGAUCUCUAAGGGGUCUGGUGUGGUCAAAUGUGGUCUCUUUGGGGUCUAAUUGGGUCUGAUGUGGUCUCUAUGGGGUCUGAUAAGGUCUAAUGUGAUCUGAUGUGGUCUAAUGUGAUCUCUAAGGGGUCUGGUGUGGUCAAAUGUGGUCUCUUUGGGGUCUAAUUGGGUCUGAUGUGGUCUCUAGAGGGUCUCAUAAGGUCUGAUGUGGUCUCUAUGGGGUCUGAUAAGGUCUAAUGUGAUCUGAUGUGGUCUCGAGGGGGCCUGGUGUGGUCUAUUGUGGUCUGAUGUGGUCUCUAGAGGGUCUGAUGAGGUCUCUAGGGGGGUCUGGAGUGGUCCGAUGAGGUCUCUAGGGGGUCUGAUAAGGUCUAAUGUGAUCUGAUGUGGUCUAAUGUAUUCUCUAAGGGGUCUGGUGUGGUCAAAUGUGGUCUCUUUGGGGUCUAAUUGGGUCUGAUGUGGUCUCUAGAGGGUCUCAUAAGGUCUGAUGUGGUCUCUAUGGGGUCUGAUAAGGUCUAAUGUGAUCUGAUGUGGUCUUGAGGGGGCCUGGUGUGGUCUAUUGUGGUCUGAUGUGGUCUCUAGAGGGUCUGAUGAGGUCUCUAGGGGGUCUGAAAUGGUCCGAUGAGGUCUCUAGGGGGUCUGAUAAGGUCUAAUGUGAUCUGAUGUGGUCUAAUGUGAUCUCUAAGGGGUCUGGUGUGGUCAAAUGUGGUCUCUUUGGGGUCUAAUUGGGUCUGAUGUGGUCUCUAGAGGGUCUCAUAAGGUCUGAUGUGGUCUCUAGGGGGUCUGCUAAUGUCUAAUUUGAUCUGAUGUGGUCUCUGGUGUGGUCUCUA